rnacentral:ncRNA from 20 species
GUCGCCUGGUCAGAGGCUUUCUGUACAGGUCAGACAGUAUCCCACCGGCCCACUAGUGAAACUGGUUCAAUCCCAGUAUCGCGCACCACGAUUGACCUGCGGUUUCAUCCACAAAAUCUGGGCUGCGUGAACUAAAUGUGAACUGACUCGGUGCAACCACCGAAAGGUUCCU